rnacentral:lncRNA from 1 species
CGCGGAUAAAUACGGAAGUUUUGAAGAUAAUUGUGAAGAUCGGGAAAAAUGGAAUAUCUCCAUUUUUAUGCUAUGACGGCUUAAGGGCAGAAGAGUAAAAGCGUAAACCGACCUUGGAGCUAGUAUAUAAGGAGUCCUAGGCGAGGAGCAAGGGGGAGAACUUUUUAGAUUCGGAAUUCUCUGCACUUAGAAACUUUAGGCUUAUUCUCGACAAGUUCGGUUUCUAUGACUGGCACUCAAUUACUAGACGAACUCGCCCAGGCAGUUCGAUCUCUUGUCCAGCUCUAUCAAUUGAACUACGUUCGGCUUGAUCCUCGAAAGGGGUACGUAGGCAGCUUUAACAAGGUUCAGUCCGAAAUCAAUCUAAGCCUUUUAGAUAUCUUUUUCGUCCUUUGUUAUCGAGCUGCGACUCAACUAGGAUUAGGGUUUUAUGUUGCUAGAACUAGGUAACUCGCUGACGGCCCCUGCGGCCAAAGCCUUUGUAUUCUCUUGUAAUGAUCGCAACGCUCUUACGCGGACUCGAAAUGAGAUCUACUGUUUUCUCUAAACUCGUUUGUUAUCUUUUCAUGAUUUCCGCAUAUAUUCGAUCACUUGUCGUUGGCUCUCGCAGAGAUCCGGGACCUCUGGGAAAUUAGGGUUUUCCUAGUUUCCUUAUUUAAACGGAAAUCGACAGUGCGAAUUUCGGUUCCCACA